CCUACGGGAUGCAGCAGUGAGGAAUAUUGGUCAAUGGACGAGAGUCUGAACCAGCCAAGUAGCGUGAAGGAUGACUGCCCUAUGGGUUGUAAACUUCUUUUAUAAAGGAAUAAAACGAGGCACGUGUGCCUUUUUGCAUGUACUUUAUGAAUAAGGAUCGGCUAACUCCGUGCCAGCAGCCGCGGUACUACGGCGGAUCCGAGCGUUAUACGGAUUUCUUGGGUUUAAAGGGAGCGUAGAUGGGUUGUUAAGUCAGUUGUGAAAGUUUGCGGCUCAACCGUAAAAUUGCAAUUGAUACUGGCAGUCUUGAGGACGGUAGAGGUAAGCGGAAUGCGUGGUGUAGCGGUGAAAUGCUUAGAUAUCACGAAGAACCCCGAUUGCGAAGGCAGCUUACUAAACUGUGACUGACAUUGAUGCUCGAAAGUGUGGGUAUCAAACAGGAGUAGAUACCCGGGUAGUC
rnacentral:rRNA from 1 species